UCCGGGCACUGCUGGGCACCUACCCCAAAUCCAUGCCCUCUUCCCCACUCAGCAACAGGACUCUGAUUUUUUUCAGGCUGGCAAUGUGUCCAUUAAAUCAAUUCCCUCCCUGGACCCUCUGCAACUGAAGCUGGCCCCAUGACUUGGUUCUGGCUUUUGUUUUCCUGAUUAAAAAGCAACAGACCUGGUGGGCCAUGCCUUGUGCUCAUUCCCCUUCUUCCUGCCUAGAAUGGAGAUAUGGGUCUAGAGGUGCAGUAGCAGGUGUCUUGUGAGCACAGGAUGGCAGCAGGGAUUCCCUGGGAACCAGUAGCCCUUAACCCCUCAUCCACAAAACCCCAUCACUCUAGGAGCCCAGCCAGCUCAACUGGAGUCUUUAUGCAGAUGACAAAAUGAAGCCCCUUGCCAUCACCCUGAGACUCAGCCCCAUGGCAAACAGCUUGGGGGAGAAGCACUACUCAGAUUCCAGCCUCAUCUCUGGCAGCCAGUGUCCACAUGUAGCAAGCAAUUUGCACAGACCUACGUGGUGGCCCUGAGCCUGACAUGCCCUUGGCCCCAUUCUCAGUAGAGCUCAACUUACAGCAACACACAUGCCUGCACACACCCCUCUAAGUCAGGGAGGGGUGCGCCACUGAGCACCCCAAGAUCAUGGGAGAGCUGUCCCCACAGAGGAUUUUGCACAUUUGCAGAGCACUUCCACCCAUAUCAUGAAGGAAAGAAUAAGCAUUAAAGGAAUACCUGAAAUGGAAUUAUGCAAGCUCUAGAUUUUAGCAAAAAGGUGCUUUAAGUGCUGUUCUUCAUAAUCAAAAUAAACCUCCACCAGAUGCUACUAAACACUCAAGUGUCAUCUGGUUAGUACUGCCCAAGAUGAGGGCGUGGGUUGGGUAGGGCUGUCCAACUCUCUCCUUCCCUCUGACAGUAAUCUAAAGCAGCACUUACAAGAGCAAGGCAGAGCUCUCUGUGCCUAUAUCCAUGUCGAAGGAUUGGCAGUCAUCUAUUCUGAUCCAUUUGAAUUGUCCUUCUGAGCCAAAGCCUCAAGUCAGCAAUAGUGAACUUCACUAGUCCUCCACAUGGUCCUAAGACAGAGCAACUGUGGUCCACUCUUCCUUCCCAAAGCAUCUCAUCCCCAUCCAUCCUUCUCCAUUCCCACCUCUCCACCCUGUGCCUGACCACCCAGAACCCCACUUCUCAGAGCAGCCCAGCACUCGCCUCCUGCUUCUGAUCUCUUAUCUCCCUAACCCAUCCAUCCAUCCAUCCUAUCCUGCAUGUAAUUUUUGAUACAGAAUUGGUGC
rnacentral:lncRNA from 1 species